GUGGAGCAAUCCAUGAGUACAGUGGCGCACGGGUGAGUAACACGUGAAUGAUCUACCUCCGAGUGGGGAAUAACCUAGGGAAACCUGGGCUAAUACCGCAUAACACUUACGAGUCAGAGCAGCAAUGCGCUUGGAGAGGAGUUCGCGGCAGAUUAGCUAGUUGGCGGGGUAAUGGCCCACCAAGGCGAUGAUCUGUAUCCGGCCUGAGAGGGCGCACGGACACACUGGAACUGAAACACGGUCCAGACUCCUACGGGAGGCAGCAGUGGGGAAUUUUGCGCAAUGGGGGAAACCCUGACGCAGCAACGCCGCGUGGAGGAUGAAAUCCCUUGGGAUGUAAACUCCUUUCGAUCGGGACGAUUAUGACGGUACCGGAAGAAGAAGCCCCGGCUAACUUCGUGCCAGCAGCCGCGGUAAUACGAGGGGGGCGAGCGUUGUUCGGAAUUAUUGGGCGUAAAGGGUGCGUAGGCGGUUUGAUAAGUCAUCUGUGAAAUCUCUGGGCUCAACCCAGAGUCUGCAGGCGAAACUGUCGGGCUUGAGUAUGGGAGAGGUGAGUGGAAUUUCCGGUGUAGCGGUGA
rnacentral:rRNA from 1 species